AAGCAGAAGCAGAAGAAGAAGAAGAAGAAGAAGAAAGAAGAAGAAGAAGAAGAAGAGAAAGAGAUUAGUAGAGACAAAUCUACAGUUACUAGGGCUCAAAAGAUGCUAUCCAUGUUCUGCAAUAUCAAAGGAUUCUGUGGCCUGAACUUAUUUCAUUUUAAAAAACGUGAAUGACCAAAGAAAGUAUAUAAGCUGGAAAACUAUGGACAAAAGCUAUUGGAUAGUGCCAAUCAUCCCUUUGGUACUCCGGUGCAAUUGAUAUCAGAGUGGACAGAAACACAAGUUGGUAUGUGGUUAUCAGGAUUUGGAAUGAAAACAUAUAUGAUGGAAUUUGAAUUAAAAAAUAUGAGAGGUGAAUGCCUCCUAACACUCGACACUAACCAGCUAAAAUGCCUCGGUGUCUACAAGAGGAAACACCGCAAGAAAAUACUUAAGCGUAUUGAGAGACUUCAAAUCCUAGAAGAUGCAAUAAAGAAUUUUAACAACGAAAUUUAUAAUAGAGAAGACAAAUGGAAAAUAUGACAAACAGAAAAAUAGAAUCAGCAGUAUAAUAUUUAUUUUAAUUUUAACCAUUCCACUUUCACCCAAAUAUUGUUUUAGCAGAGGAUAAGUCUACAUAAGUCCAAUACUUUUAAUAAUAUAGAUGAAAUAAUAAUAUGCAAUAUACUAUGUUUCUAAAUAAACUGAUUAUAACAUACUCAUGUGCUCUCCUUUUUAUGGGCUUUAGAUCUGAAAUUUCAUCAGUGUGUGUGAAAGGCAUAGUGCAAAAAGCAAACCUGUCCUCCCCUAAUCUAACAGAGAUUUUCAGUCUUUUUCAAUCAUGUCUGAACUUUGUGACCGCUCUCUAUAACGGCUUUGGAAAACUUGCCUUGAACAUAAAGUUGUUACUUGCUUAUAGUCAUAGAGUAUUUAAUAUAUGUUAGAUGCAGGACCUGAAUCUUGGUCUUCUUCUCCUCAAGUCCAAUUCUCUCUCCACGUUGCCAUGUUAAUUUUGCUUCAGAAUCUAUAUGUGAGCAAAAGAAAUAAAUGCAUACAUUUAUACACAUUAUAGAUUUUCUAUGAUAAAAAGUAUGUAUAUAUUGUCCAUGAGAACCUCCUCUUCUUCAUCUCCUUCAUUAACUACUUCUACUACCAUAGCUUCUCUAUAGUUUUUUGUGUCAUAAUUCAACCCUAACCCUAAUUGCGCUCAUGAGCUCUUAAAUAGUUUUACUUUCAUCAGCUUCUGUUAAAGAAUUCAGUUAAUUUUCCAUCAAAGUAUUUAAUUAAACAACCUCAUAAAAUUCCUCCAUAAACUCUCAGCUCAUUCUCUCACAAAUAUAUUUCAGUGGGAAAAGUGUACGUACUUAUAUAUGGGUCAUCUGUACAUGGGGAACAUAUAGCACACACACACACACACACAGAGACACAGUUUAUGCAUCUAAGAAAUCAAACCCUGAUGCAAAGUUUUUUGUUGGUGUGUGUAUUUGUUUUUUCGGUGAGGCAACUAGGGUUAAGUGGCUUGUGAGUGUGAUGUGUCUG